AGGUUAAGGCUUUAUAGUUAAAUAUUUGACAUGACCCAAAACAGCAAAGGCACAGCUAGUAGACUGAGAAGGGAAUAUGAGACAACCACAAAUGUUCCAUGAUGAACCGACUUCAACUUGACGCUAGGGACAUCUGCUGCAGGUGUCUGAGCUUAGUAAAUGUGACUUACAUGCUCUACUAGUUUGAGUCUGUGUAUUACCUGUCAUAAUAUGGUGUAAAUGUGCCAAAGAUACUGUAGACUAAGUAACUAAUUGAGCUUAAACAGCACGCAAAGAAUUAAUGUAACUAUGGCUUUCAACUGAUUAAACAAUACUUAUAUAGAUGUAAUAUAUAAUUAAUUUACUGUAUGUGUUUGAAAUAUGCAUCCUGGUGCAGGAUCUCUGUCUGUUGCGGCGCAGAAUAAACUUUAUCCGUGUCUGGUAUGUACAAAUCAACCACCAAUUCAGCCCAUUAUAACUCUUUAAUUGUAACAUUGUUUUUAAUGUAUUUCCACACUAAUAUCAGUUAUAACCUUAGGUUGUCACAAAUGUAGCAUAAGUUCUAAAACUAUAUUUUAUUUUAUAUUAUUUUAUUUUAUUUUGAUUUGAGUAGGUCUCUUCCACUUAAAAGUAUUUAUGAGUUUAAUGCCUUUUCACUGAUCUGUUCAUUAUAAAAUACUCCCAGUGGUCUGAAAGAAGUAAAUUAUUUCAUUGCAGGUGAAAGCCUCUCAUGGAGUGAAUACUUUCAGCACCCUAAUUGCAAUGAUAGCCAUUUUUCUGAUGAGCAUGCAAUUAGCAUCAAUACCAAGAAAUCAUCAUUUUAUUUUGCCGACCAUUGUAAUAUUGGCAUUCACCAUCCUUCAGUUCAUCAUCUCCAUCUGUAUCUCAACAUUUUCCUACAAAGCCAUCAGCAACAACGACUCUACAGUAGUAAAUGUUGCACUAAACUAGGGAAACUGAGUCAUUAUGAAGAGAUCCAUAGGCUCCAAGGAAAUUAAUAUCUCAUAAUAUUGUUGCUUUUUUAAUCUGCUCUAGUGUUACAGUGUUGUAUUUAUGCAUAUUUUGUUAUAUAUUUGAAAACUGUACUUCUGCAUCAGGCCCAUGUAUUUUCAUUUUCAUGUUUGACAUGGAGAAAAAGAAUUGUAUUUGUUAACCAAGUUUUUGAAUGAGUAUAUCCUGAACGUGUGUUAAGACCAGUGCUGGGGGCAACGCAUUGAAAGUAAUGUGAGUGACAUAAUCAGAUUACUUUUUUCAAGCAUCUAGUAACUCAUUACUUUUUAAUUUACAGAAAAAAAUUCUGACUUUUUUUCAAAUAAGUAAUACCAGUUUUCCCAUUUACUGACUGACAGCUCUCCUGUUCCUAUGUUGAGAGAAAUCAGGAGUAAGUGCAGAGGCGUUGUUUGCGCUGUGUAAACAUGUUGCUUGCUGAAGUUUUAGACUAAAUGUGAAUAUGCAUUUACAUAUCUCACUUGCACAAAAACAGAUUCAGUAUUCCUAAAAAUUGAAAAAAAUAAUAAAAUAAAAAUAAAAACAGUGAAAUGCAGAUUCAGUAUCAUCAAAAAAAUCCAACAAAAAUAUCCUUUAUGUAUUUAAUCCCAUUUUAUUAACUAUUAUCUUUGCUGCUGACCUUUGAUGAUCCAAUUCAACCAUACUAAUAAAAAAAAUUGUGAAGAGUGCCCUGCAUCUUUUGCAGUCCAGAAUGGCAGCACACCUCAAAAGUCUGUUUGAACUGCAGCCUUUACUAAAUUUUUUUAGCCUGAUGCUUUUUCAUUUUACUUUUGGUGUGAAAGCACAUAUACAACUUUUCUAUAUUAAAAACAAAAAAGCAAGCCCAGCCCAGAUAAGAAAAAAGUAACGUUCUGCAUUACUUUCCAUAAAAGUAACUAAGUAACUCAAUUAGUUACUUUUUUAGGGAGUAACACAAUAUUGUAACGCAUUACUUUUAAAAGUAUAACUUUCCCCAACAGACUGUUUUGUCUUGGAGAAAACACACAUGCAGUGGAGAAACACAUGCGCACUAACAAGUGCUUUUCAAAGAUAUUUGUGUUCACAAAUUUCUAUAAUUUAUACGCUACCUUGAAGUUUUGAUUUGAAUUUCUGGAGGAAGAGUGUUUUAUAAUCCUUAAAAAUCUACAGCAAGUUCAUAUGACACAAGCUCCUCCUCAGCGGUUCUUCACAGCGCACACACAAAGAUACCUGAUCAUAAGAGCGAUCAGACAUCCUCAUCAACACAACUCAUUUCACUUCAGGUAAAAUAUUUCAUUUAUUGAUUAUCAUCUAUGAUUAUUUUAAUUAUAGGUCUAUAUUUAUAAACACACUUUGAUAUACAUCAAUCCAAAUUCAACCAUCAUCUUUUGACUGUUUUGAUCUUUCACACCAGUGAUUGUUUUGGUGUAUGUUUUUGCUCAUUUAUUGUUAUACUUUGGUACAUAAAAACUUUAAUUAAAGGUUUUGAGAUUUGUUUGGAUCCCUGUCUAAAAUAUUCUAUAAAUGUAGAAUAAGUUUUUAUCUUAAGUGAC
rnacentral:lncRNA from 1 species